rnacentral:rRNA from 1 species
GAUGAACGCUGGCGGCGUGCCUAAUACAUGCAAGUCGAGCGAACGGACGAGAAGCUUGCUUCUCUGAUGUUAGCGGCGGACGGGUGAGUAACACGUGGAUAACCUACCUAUAAGACUGGGAUAACUUCGGGAAACCGGAGCUAAUACCGGAUAAUAUUUUGAACCGCAUGGUUCAAAAGUGAAAGACGGUCUUGCUGUCACUUAUAGAUGGAUCCGCGCUGCAUUAGCUAGUUGGUAAGGUAACGGCUUACCAAGGCAACGAUGCAUAGCCGACCUGAGAGGGUGAUCGGCCACACUGGAACUGAGACACGGUCCAGACUCCUACGGGAGGCAGCAGUAGGGAAUCUUCCGCAAUGGGCGAAAGCCUGACGGAGCAACGCCGCGUGAGUGAUGAAGGUCUUCGGAUCGUAAAACUCUGUUAUUAGGGAAGAACAUAUGUGUAAGUAACUGUGCACAUCUUGACGGUACCUAAUCAGAAAGCCACGGCUAACUACGUGCCAGCAGCCGCGGUAAUACGUAGGUGGCAAGCGUUAUCCGGAAUUAUUGGGCGUAAAGCGCGCGUAGGCGGUUUUUUAAGUCUGAUGUGAAAGCCCACGGCUCAACCGUGGAGGGUCAUUGGAAACUGGAAAACUUGAGUGCAGAAGAGGAAAGUGGAAUUCCAUGUGUAGCGGUGAAAUGCGCAGAGAUAUGGAGGAACACCAGUGGCCGAAGGCGACUUGUCUGGUCUGUAACUGACGCUGAUGUGCGAAAGCGUGGGGAUCAAACAGGAUUAGAUACCCUGGUAGUCCACGCCGUAAACGAUGAGUGCUAAGUGUUAGGGGGUUUCCGCCCCUUAGUGCUGCAGCUAACGCAUUAAGCACUCCGCCUGGGGAGUACGACCGCAAGGUUGAAACUCAAAGGAAUUGACGGGGACCCGCACAAGCGGUGGAGCAUGUGGUUUAAUUCGAAGCAACGCGAAGAACCUUACCAAAUCUUGACAUCCUUUGACAACUCUAGAGAUAGAGCCUUCCCCUUCGGGGGACAAAGUGACAGGUGGUGCAUGGUUGUCGUCAGCUCGUGUCGUGAGAUGUUGGGUUAAGUCCCGCAACGAGCGCAACCCUUAAGCUUAGUUGCCAUCAUUAAGUUGGGCACUCUAAGUUGACUGCCGGUGACAAACCGGAGGAAGGUGGGGAUGACGUCAAAUCAUCAUGCCCCUUAUGAUUUGGGCUACACACGUGCUACAAUGGACAAUACAAAGGGCAGCGAAACCGCGAGGUCAAGCAAAUCCCAUAAAGUUGUUCUCAGUUCGGAUUGUAGUCUGCAACUCGACUACAUGAAGCUGGAAUCGCUAGUAAUCGUAGAUCAGCAUGCUACGGUGAAUACGUUCCCGGGUCU